rnacentral:rRNA from 1 species
UACGUAGGGGGCAAGCGUUGUCCGGAAUCACUGGGCGUAAAGAGCGUGUAGGCGGCCAGAUAAGUCCGCUGUGAAAUCUCGAGGCUCAACUUCGAGCUGUCGGUGGAAACUGUCUGGCUAGAGUCCGGAAGAGGAGAAUGGAAUUCCUGGUGUAGCGGUGAAAUGCGCAGAUAUCAGGAAGAACACCCGUGGCGAAGGCGGUUCUCUGGGACGGUACUGACGCUGAGACGCGAAAGCGUGGGGAGCGAACAGG